GAUGAACGCUGGCGGCGUGCUUAACACAUGCAAGUCGAACGAAGCCCUCUAUUUUAUUUCCUUCGGGACUGGUUAUUUUGUGACUGAGUGGCUGACGGUUGAGUAACGCGUGGGUAACCUGCCUUAUACAGGGGGAUAACCGUUGGACACAGCUGCUAAUACCGCAUAAUCGCCCAGCAUCGCAUGAUGCAGUGUGAAAAAAUACGGUGGUAUAAGAUGGACCCGCGUUGGAUUAGCUAGUUGGUGAGGUAACGGCCCACUAAGGCGACGAUCCAUAGCCGACCUGAGAGGGUGACCGGCCACACUGGGACUGAGACACGGCCCAAACUCCUACGGGAGGCAGCAGUGGGGAAUAUUGCACAAUGGGCGAAAGCCUGAUGCAGCGACGCCGCGUGAGCGAUGAAGUAUUUCGGGAUGUAAAGCUCUAUCAGCAGGGAAGAUAAUGACGGUACCUGGAGAAGAAGCACCGGCUAACUACGUG
rnacentral:rRNA from 1 species